GCGAGUUAGGCAGCAGCAUGUCCACAGCUCACACCCCGGCAGCUUUGGGCACAGGAGCCUGGCAUCCCGCUGGCCCAACAGCUCCGCGUUUGUCCCGCUGCCUGCUGGGCUCCCGAUCCUUUGCAGCCGGAGAAGACCGGGAGUGACCUGGAAUAACAAAGGAAUCGGUGCCGCAGCAGCACCUAAGGCUGAAGGGCGCCCAGAGACGGAACUUGCCCGCUGGCUUCAGGGCGAGGAAUCGCUGGGAGGGGCACGGUGUGAACCGGGACACGUGUGACACCUCCCCUGUGACACCUCCCCUGGGAAUAAACCACGGCUCCCGAGCCUGGCUUCUCCCUGCCUGCGAGCCCAGGAACUGCAGAACACAGCAGCCAGAGCACAUCUGCUGAUGGCAAAUUUAGGAAGACAAUAUCCUUGUUAGCCUGUCAGAAUUCCAAAAGGUUUCUGACAAAAGCAAACGCCCCGGUUCUUUCAGGUCUCACCUCCAGCUUGUGGCUUUCCCAGCGGCGGCAGGAAAGAGGCAGGAGGCAGAGCCAGCAAUUCCUGCAUUUGCCCGUGAGGAACCUUCCGGGGGAUUUAGGUGAUUCAGGGAGAUCCCACGAAUGUCUCUGCGUGAGAGUGUCCCACCCUGAACGUCGCCUUUGGGCACUGGAAGCAGCUCAGCCAAAGCCCUGUGUGCUCCUUCCAGGCCUGGAUUGUGUUCCCUGUGAACCAAGGAUCGCCCGGACACAGAUCAGGGCACCACUACCAGCCCCUUCCAGCACAUGCUGUGGUCACUGAGCAGAAAGCACAAUCCAUGGAGCAAAAGCAGCAGUGAGAGGCCCUGCAGCACCAGUUUGUGUAAGUGACAGGUUUUGAUGCUCUUUGCAAUCCGUUCUCAGGAAUUAAAAGCAGCUCAGCCCUUGCAGCCGGACUCACCCACCCUUGCUGCCCGCUCAGCCUUUUCCUGGGAUCCUUUAGGUGGGAGAAGGGUCCACACGAGAACCCAAAUGUGAAUUCCUGCUGCCACACCUGGCCCAGCAUCCCUGGCUGCACUCUCUUUCCCCUGCACAGGCUGGAAAUGCUCUCCAGGGGAAUUUUCUGCUUCGUCACAAUUCCAGCCCUUGGGCUGGGCACUGGAUCGCCUCUGCAAUUAAGUUUUAUUCUUUUACGCAUCAUCGACCUUCAAGCCGAUUUCUGAGAUGCAGUUGCACCUUCAAGGGAGUCCUACAGAGCAAAACCAAUCAUUCCAUUGGACACUGCGUCCCCAAAGUGUCUGUGUCCAGUGAGGAAUCUGCAAGCGCUGCUUCAAUUCAAAACCUAUCGCUGUUCAUCAGAAAAUCCCAGAAACAGUUACGCAACUUGGAUUUCCACACACUUUACUAAAAUUAGCAAGAUUUUCAGCAGUUUUUCAGUCAUUUGGGAGCUUGAGAGAACCAUUUCUAGAAUUUUAUUUGCAGACCUUGCAGCAGCAUUCAAUAUUUAUAAGGAAUUCCCUGUCUUAGUAGCAACGACUGACAGUUACAAAAAAUAAGUACAUUAUAAAAUGCAUUAAUAUUUUAAGUCUGCCUGAGACUGCUGGAGGAAGAUAUUGCCAGCUCUUGCCUGACUGGCUGAUAUUUAGUUCACACAAGUAACUGACAAAAGGAGACAUAUCUAGGAGGGAAAAGAGAGGGUGUAUAAGAAACUGCAACAGCUACAGUGAAAGAUUUGUCUGUGUUUACACAAUAAAUCAGCAGCAGAAUCAGGAAAAGAACCUUUUUUUCCUGUUUUUGUUCCAGCCACUCAUUCAGUGCUGUUAUGCACUCAGAUAUUGCUUUUGGGUUCUGAAUAAAACCCCUCCUCAUCCUCCAAAUAAAAUGUUGAGGUUGUGCUGAAUCCAGGUUUUCCCACAAAAAUACAAAUAACUCACAUUUAAUGAUGCAGCUGAGAGAAAAGAUAAAUCUUGAGCUGGCUGUUAUAAAGUGCUUUUUCCUGAACCCUCCUGCCUGCUGGGUGCCGGCAGUGCUGGCCACGAGCCAGGGCUGUUUACGGUGCCAGCGUGGCUGUCCCACACUCCUGAGCAUCUGCACAUUUUGUUCCUGGCAUAUUUGUGUCUGUGGAGCCAGCUGACCUUGAAACUCUCAUCAGAGGGAGGGAAAAAAAAAAAAUCAGCAGCCAGGAGCUACCACCCUCCAUAUAUUCCAGUUAUUAUCAGAAUAUUUUUCCUCUGUUCAGUUUGCGCAGAAAUGACAUUCAAUAACACCGAAAAUGUUCCCUCUGUCCCGAGAGAGGCAUGUUCAGAGCGAAACCAGAGGAAAUUAAAGACCUCUCCAGCAAUCCCCCGGCACGGGUUCAUA